GUAGGGGGCGAGCGUUGUCCGGAAUCAUUGGGCGUAAAGAGCUCGUAGGCGGCUCAGUAAGUCGGGUGUGAAACCCUCAGGCUCAACCUGGGGACGCCACCCGAUACUGCUGUGGCUAGAGUCCAGUAGGGGAGUGUGGAAUUCCCGGUGUAGCGGUGAAAUGCGCAGAUAUCGGGAGGAACACCAGCGGCGAAGGCGGCACUCUGGGCUGGUACUGACGCUGAGGAGCGAAAGCGUGGGUAGCAAACAGGAUUAGAUACCCUGGUAGUCCACGCCGUAAACGUUGGGCACUAGGUGUGGGGACCCUCCAACGGUUUCCGUGCCGUAGCUAACGCAUUAAGUGCCCCGCCUGGGGAGUACGGCCGCAAGGCUAAA
rnacentral:rRNA from 1 species